rnacentral:rRNA from 13 species
CUGGGGCGGUCGCCUCCUAAAAGGUAACGGAGGCGCUCAAAGGUUCCCUCAGCCUGGUUGGCAAUCAGGUGUCGAGUGUAAGUGCACAAGGGAGCUUGACUGUGAGACUGACAGGUCGAGCAGGGACGAAAGUCGGGACUAGUGAUCCGGCACCUACUUGUGGAUGUGGUGUCGCUCAACGGAUAAAAGGUACCUCGGGGAUAACAGGCUGAUCUUGCCCAAGAGUCCAUAUCGACGGGAUGGUUUGGCACCUCGAUGUCGGCUC